GACGAACGCUGGCGGCGCGCCUAACACAUGCAAGUCGAACGAGCGAGAGGGAGCUUGCUUUCUCGAGCGAGUGGCGAACGGGUGAGUAACGCGUGAGGAACCUGCCUCAAAGAGGGGGACAACAGUUGGAAACGACUGCUAAUACCGCAUAAGCCCACGGUGCCGCGUGGCACAGAGGGAAAAGGAGCAAUCCGCUUUGAGAUGGCCUCGCGUCCGAUUAGCUAGUUGGUGAGGUAAUGGCCCACCAAGGCGACGAUCGGUAGCCGGACUGAGAGGUUGAACGGCCACAUUGGGACUGAGACACGGCCCAGACUCCUACGGGAGGCAGCAGUGGGGAAUAUUGCACAAUGGGGAAAACCUGAUGCAGCGACGCCGCGUGGAGGAAGAAGGUCUUCGGAUUGUAAACUCCUGUUGUUGGGGAAGAUAAUGACGGUACCCAACAAGGAAGUGACGGCUAACUACGUG
rnacentral:rRNA from 1 species